UACGUAGGGGGCAAGCGUUAUCCGGAUUUACUGGGUGUAAAGGGAGCGUAGACGGAUGGACAAGUCUGAUGUGAAAGGCUGGGGCUCAACCCCGGGACUGCAUUGGAAACUGCCCGUCUUGAGUGCCGGAGAGGUAAGCGGAAUUCCUAGUGUAGCGGUGAAAUGCGUAGAUAUUAGGAGGAACACCAGUGGCGAAGGCGGCUUACUGGACGGUAACUGACGUUGAGGCUCGAAAGCGUGGGGAGCAAAC
rnacentral:rRNA from 2 species